rnacentral:rRNA from 1 species
AUUGAACGCUGGCGGCAGGCCUAACACAUGCAAGUCGAACGAGUGGCGGACGGGUGAGUAAUGUGUGGGAAACUGCCUGAUGGAGGGGGAUAACUCCUGGAAACGGUAGCUAAUACCGCAUACCAUAAGCUGUGCCCAGAUGGGAUUAGCUAGUUGGUGGGGUAACGGCUCAACAAGGCGACGAUCCCUAGCUGGUCUGAGAGGAGGACCAGGCACACGGGAACUGAGAAACGGUCCAGACUUCUACGGUAGGCAGCAGUGGGGAAUAUUGCACAAUGGGGGCAAGGCGGAUGUAGCAAAGCCGCGGGUAUGAAGAAGGCCUUAGGGUGGUAAAGUGCUUUCAGCGGGGAGGCGUUACCCGCAGAAGAAGCACCGGCUAACUCCGUGCCAGCAGCCGCGGUAAUUC